rnacentral:misc_RNA from 1 species
GUGUCGUCCUGCUCGGAGGCCAUGAAAAAUGUCAAGAGAGAGAAAAAGGUGGGAGAGAAGGGUUAAUUUGGUUGGGGGGUGGGGGCGUGGGUCUAAAGGGGCUAGCGUAGGGCGGGUGCGUUACCGCCUCACGAGGAUUCGUUGGGUGNNUUGGGUGGUGGAGCGUUUCGUCGACCCACGCUCUCUCAUUGCGCGUGCUUGCAAACUCAUUCCAAUUUUGCAAGAUUCCGCUGAUUCCGGUAGCCAAUGGC